UAUACCUAUGAUGAUUUUUUAUCGCCCCAGUCUGAAAAAUAUGUGGAUUCGAUCCUCUGAACUACU